CCCUACGGGGGGCAGCAGUGAGGAAUAUUGGUCAAUGGCCGCAGGGCUGAACCAGCCAAGUCGCGUGAGGGAUGACGGUCCUAUGGGUUGUAAACCUCUUUUGUCAGGGAGCAAAGGGCGCCACGUGUGGCGCUUUGCGAGUACCUGAAGAAAAAGCAUCGGCUAACUCCGUGCCAGCAGCCGCGGUAAUACGGAGGAUGCGAGCGUUAUCCGGAUUUAUUGGGUUUAAAGGGUGCGCAGGCGGAAUGUCAAGUCAGCGGUAAAAUUUCGGGGCUCAACCCCGUCGUGCCGUUGAAACUGGCGUU
rnacentral:rRNA from 1 species